GUAGGUGGCAAGCGUUGUCCGGAAUUAUUGGGCGUAAAGCGCGCGCAGGCGGUUCUUUAAGUCUGAUGUGAAAGCCCACGGCUCAACCGUGGAGGGUCAUUGGAAACUGGAAAACUUGAGUACAGAAGAGGAAAGCGGAAUUCCACGUGUAGCGGUGAAAUGCGUAGAGAUGUGGAGGAACACCAGUGGCGAAGGCGGCUUUCUGGUCUGUAACUGACGCUGAGGCGCGAAAGCGUGGGGAGCAAACAGGGAUUAGAUACCCUGGUAGUCCACGCCGUAAACGAUGAGUGCUAAGUGUUAGGGGGGUUUCCGCCCCCUUAGUGCUGCAGCUAACGCAUUAAGCACUCCGCCUGGGGAUACGGCCGCAAGGCUG
rnacentral:rRNA from 1 species